UACGUAGGUGGCAAGCGUUGUUCGGAAUUAUUGGGCGUAAAGGGCGCGUAGGCGGCGACUCAAGUUAGAUGUGAAAGUCCUGGGCUUAACCUGGGGACUGCAUUUGAUACUGGGUUGCUUGAAUUCGGGAGAGGAUAGCGGAAUUCCCAGUGUAGAGGUGAAAUUCGUAGAUAUUGGGAAGAACACCGGUGGCGAAGGCGGCUAUCUGGACCGACAUUGACGCUGAGGCGCGAAAGCGUGGGGAGCAAACAGG
rnacentral:rRNA from 1 species